GAAAAUAGUACCUUAUUGGAUUUGAUAGCAAAGUAGACAUGGCCAUUCGAAGCCCACCGUGUACUUGGAAAAUCUGAGAAGCUUUUUUUUUUUUUGUUUGUCUUCGAUCAAACGUUUCGUCUUCUUCAUCCUCAUCUCAUCAAUAAGAAUUCUCGUACAGCGUCUUGGUGUUUUCCUUCGUUAUCCACUUUUUUGCCUCUUAGUCUCCGGUGAAAGCAUCUCGGCGGCGGUGAAUUUAGGGCGAACUGAAGUCGAACUUGAUUUAGAUUGAAGACGACAGAGGAUUGAUGGAGAUUCUUCAUUCAAUCAAUGAAACGAUGGUAUGGUUUCCGCUUCCGAUCAAUCUAACUCUUACGGAUGUUGCAGAGAUCAUCAUCGGCUUUUACUUGGAUCAUCAUCAUCAUCGGAACUCACAAAGUCUCUGUAUAAAGACAUAAUUGGCUCUAGAAGAAGAAGAAGAAGAAGAAGAAGCGAGAAAUAGAGAGUUUUGAUUUCUCUCACAAGGAAAGAAUUAGAAGAAGCGAGAGAGAGAGAGAGAGAGAGAGAGAGAGAGAGAGAGAGAGUAUGUAUUUAUAAGCAAAGAGGUUCAAAAGAAAAAGGAAAUCACAAUUAACGGUCAUAUAAAGAUUUCCUUUUUUCUGUAAUUUCCUUUUUCUUUUGAUGCCUUUGUUUCCUAAUUUUUUCAAUGCUUUAUUUCUUUUUCUUUUUGUUUCCUUUUUGUUUUGUUUAUGUGAGUGAAUCUGCUGAUGUACGUCGGGACUGGCUGUAUCUUCCGCCGAGAGCAUCAUUACUGGCUUGGAACGAGAAAGGAUAAUGCACGGAUUGACUCAGCUGCAAAGGCACUAUGCAAUAAAUUCAAGAGAGAUGUGUUCGUUCGUAGAAAUCAAAUAGACACAAGUUUAAGUACUGGUCGAGCAUGAAAGGCAGCUUCAAUAGUCCACUUGAGAGGCUUCUAUGUACCGGUCACAUAACCUGAGAGGAAGUAACUGAAGAGGAUAGGAUCAGAAUCUGACACUUUUCAAGGAAACUGGAAGCAGUUAUUGUGGCAAAAACAUAUUUAUCAAAACCUUUAAUAUUGAAUGUCUUAUCAGUUAUCAACUCUAAACAACGAAAUUGGUAGGAAAGUAACCCAUAAGGGUUCUCUGUUUUUACACAUUUUGUCUUCAACGGUUUAUAAGCCUGAUGCUUAUGUUGCGUUCUAAGGGACUUGAACCCUUAUUAAUGUAUUAUUUUACCUUAAAUUACAAUUUUGUACAGAGUC